AUUAUAGAGAGUUUGAUCCUGGCUCAGGACGAACGCUGGCGGCGUGCCUAAGACAUGCAAGUCGAACGGAGUGUAAGAGCUUGCUCUUACACUUAGUGGCGAACGGGUGAGUAACGCGUGAGCAACCUGCCUCGAAGUGGGGGACAACAGAGGGAAACUUCUGCUAAUACCGCAUAAGGUGGAGAAAAGGCAUCUUUCCUCCAUUAAAGAUU
rnacentral:rRNA from 1 species